GACGAACGCUGGCGGCAUGCUUAACGCAUGCAAGUCGAACGGAAAGGCCCUGCUUUUGUGGGGUGCUCGAGUGGCGAACGGGUGAGUAACACGUGAGUAGCCUGCCCUUGACUUUGGGAUAACUUCAGGAAACUGGGGCUAAUACCGGAUAGGAGCUCCUGCUGCAUGGUGGGGGUUGGAAAGUUUCGGCGGUUGGGGAUGGACUCGCGGCUUAUCAGCUUGUUGGUGGGGUAGUGGCUUACCAAGGCUUUGACGGGUAGCCGGCAUGAGAGGGUGACCGGCAACAUGGGGACUGAGAGACGGACCAGACUCCUACGGGAGGCAGCAGUGGGGAAUAUUGCACAAUGGGCGGAAGCCGGAUGCAGCAACGCCGCGUGCGGGAUGACGGCCUUCGGGUUGUAAAACGCUUUAGCCUGUGACGAAGCGUGAGUGACGGUAAUGGGUAAAGAAGCACCGGCUAACUACGUG
rnacentral:rRNA from 1 species